AUGCUCACUAUGAGGCUUGUUUUGGGUAAUUUGCUUCUAUUUAUUGCUCUCGGACUCUGUUUCAAGUCCACUCAUGCACAAGAGACAACAGCACAGACAGAUGAAAACACCACCAUCCUAUUACCAAAUGAUUACACUGUGGAGUCAAUGUUGAGUUCUGAAAACAUCAGCGCCACACCUGAAAAUACAGUUACUCUACUACAGACAGAAACCAUACUUGGUAAUGAAAUAAACACCAUGCUUGAGGAACCAACAGGUGGGAGUACUCCACCACUGAGUACUAAUCAAACAUCACCAGAAACUGUUCCUGAAACAACAACUGUACAAACGGAGCAGACCACAGUGACCACCACUACUUUGCCUGUUAAUGUGGAAACAACAGUGAUUGAACAAAUAACUUCAGACGCCCCAAGCACAAGUCAGUAUGAAACAACUGUUAGCUUCACCUCUCCUGAGCCGACCAGUCCUACAGAACGUCCUACAGAUGAAAUCACCACAGCAGCUGUGGCCAUGACUACCUAUUCAUCAGAAGCCCUCAAUCCCACAUCCAUCCUGACCACACCACCUGCAGACUGGACUGAGUCUCCAUCCAUCGUGUCCAACCCUGUGGAGACCAGCACUGAAACCUCCAUUACAACUUCAACAACAUCAACAUCAACUACACAGCUCCCUCAAAAUACUGCUGAUUACCCAUCACUGAGGUCUGACAAAGAAUCAGUCUCCACCUAUUUCACCACCACAAUAACCGGCGUGCUUAUUGAACCAAGUGAUAUGCCCAUGAAAACCAUAUGGUUAAUAAUAAUAGUGUGUGUGGCCAUCAUUUUUGUGCUGUGUGUGAGCAUGACUGUGUUCAUCCAGCGGCGAAAGAAAACCGCCUCAAGGAAUUUCAGCCCCAUGUAUAUUAAUGGACAAAGUAAACGGUCCAGAAAGAAAAAAGGGGCAGAGGAUGAUGCGUGGGCGGGGCCUGUCAAAAUGGAGGCGGGGGUUGAAUGUGAUGCUGUGGUACAGGAGGGUCUUAUGCCCAAUAGUGGGAAACAGGAUGGAGAUGAUAUGGUGCUCAGCACAUUCGUCGCUCCGGAUGCAGGAGAUGCAUCUAAUGGUCAAGUGGGUGGCGACGGUACCAAGGAGGCUAAGAAAUUGGACGAGCAGGAGCCUCUGCUUUACAUAGAUGAGGAUGUGAAUGAAGACAAGGCUGGAAAAACACUGGAAGAGAGCGAGAAACAGAAUGGAGUUGAAAUAAGUAAAGAGAAGGAGAUGAACGGAGGAGAAACAUAUUGUCUCACCACAGCUGUCUGA
ensembl:lncRNA